GACUCCGUGGCUCAGGACGAACGCUGGCGGCGUGCUUAACACAUGCAAGUCGAACGGUGAACCAGAGCUUGCUCUGGGGAUCAGUGGCGAACGGGUGAGUAACACGUGGGCAACCUGCCCCAGACUCUGGGAUAACCUCGGGAAACCGAUGCUAAUACCGGAUACGACCACUUCGGACAUCCGACGGUGGUGGAAAGUUUUCGGUCUGGGAUGGGCCCGCGGCCUAUCAGCUAGUUGGUGGGGUAAUGGCCUACCAAGGCGACGACGGGUAGCCGGCCUGAGAGGGCGACCGGCCACACUGGAACUGAGACACGGUCCAGACUCCUACGGGAGGCAGCAGUGGGGAAUAUUGCACAAUGGGCGAAAGCCUGAUGCAGCGACGCCGCGUGAGGGACGACGGCCUUCGGGUUGUAAACCUCUUUCAGCAGGGACGAAGCGAAAGUGACUGUACCUGCAGAAGAAGCACCGGCUAACUACGUG
rnacentral:rRNA from 1 species